GAGGGUGGCAAGCGUUGUUCGGAUUUACUGGGCGUAAAGGGGGUCUAGGUGGUAUGCUAAGUCUUCUGUGAAACCCCGGGGCUUAACUCCGGGACUGCAGGGGAAACUGGCAUGCUAGAGCGCGUAAGACGCAUGCGGAAUACUGGGUGUAGCGGUGAAAUGCGUAGAUAUCCAGUAGAACACCUGCGGCGAAAGCGGCCUGCGUGUACGUUGCUGACACUGACGCCCGAAAGCGUGGGGAGCAAACAGGAUUAGAUACCCUGGUAGUCCACGCUGUAAACCAUGCGCACUAGACGUUGGCGGUAUCGACCCUGCCAGUGUCGUAGUUAACGCGUUAAGUGCGCCGCCUGGGGAGUACGCUCGCAAGAGUG
rnacentral:rRNA from 1 species